AUUGAACGCUGGCGGCAGGCCUAACACAUGCAAGUCGAACGAGUGGCGGACGGGUGAGUAAUGUCUGGGAAACUGCCUGAUGGAGGGGGAUAACUACUGGAAACGGUAGCUAAUACCGCAUACCAUCAGAUGUGCCCAGAUGGGAUUAGCUAGUGGGUGGGGUAACGGCUCACCAAGGCGACGUUCCCUAGCUGGUCUGAGAGGAUGACCGGCCACCCUAGAACUGAUACACGCUCCAGACUCCUACGGGAGGCAGCAGGUGGGAAUAAUGCACAAUGAGCGCAAGCCUGUUGCAACCAUACCGCGUGUAUGAAGAAGGCCUUCGGGUUGUGAAGUACUUUCAGCUGGGAGGCGUUACCCGAAGAGGAAGCACCGGCUAACUCCGUGCCAGCAGCCGCGGUAAUUC
rnacentral:rRNA from 1 species